rnacentral:rRNA from 1 species
CGUAGGGUGCGAGCGUUGUCCGGAAUUAUUGGGCGUAAAGAGCUUGUAGGCGGUUUGUCGCGUCUGCUGUGAAAUCCGGGGCUCAACCCCGGACUUGCAGUGGGUACGGGCAGACUAGAGUGUGGUAGGGAGACUGGAAUUCCUGGUGUAGCGGUGAAAUGCGCAGAUAUCAGGAGGAACACCGAUGGCGAAGGCAGGUCUCUGGGCCAUUACUGACGCUGAGAAGCGAAAGCAUGGGGAGCGAACAGGAUU